CGAUUUGAUUCUGUUAUUACACACUUUUUAAACAAAUUACUUCCCUUUGUCAAUCUUAGACUGGUUCUAUACCGCACAAUAUUGGCUGUUGCCAAUGCAAAGCAUGAUGAAUUGAAAAUAAUGUAUCGUCAUUUUAACUAGUUUUUCAUGAAAAAUAAUUUCUGAUGUCGUAAGUAUUCAACUAAACAACAAAUUAAUGUAAUUAUGAGA
rnacentral:lncRNA from 1 species